rnacentral:rRNA from 1 species
CCUACGGGGUGGCUGCAGUGGGGAAUAUUGGACAAUGGGGGGAACCCUGAUCCAGCCAUGCCGCGUGUGUGAAGAAGGCCCUCGGGUUGUAAAGCACUUUCAGUGAGGAAGAACGCCUGGUGGUUAAUACCCAUCAGGAAAGACAUCACUCACAGAAGAAGCACCGGCUAACUCCGUGCCAGCAGCCGCGGUAAUACGGAGGGUGCGAGCGUUAAUCGGAAUUACUGGGCGUAAAGCGCGCGUAGGUGGCUUGAUAAGCCGGUUGUGAAAGCCCCGGGCUCAACCUGGGAACGGCAUCGGAACUGUCAAGCUAGAGUGCAGGAGAGGAAGGUAGAAUUCACGGUGUAGCGGUGAAAUGCGUAGAGAUCGGGAGGAAUACCAGUGGCGAAGGCGGCCUUCUGGACUGACACUGACACUGAGGUGCGAAAGCGUGGGUAGCAAACAGGAUCAGAUACCCGAGUAGUC